rnacentral:lncRNA from 1 species
AGUAGAGUAGGUUAAGGUUUUGUGUACAAUAGUUUACUAUGAUGUAAUGGUCAAAUAAACUUGAAACUUUGUACUUUCAAGUGUUCAUUAUGAAGUCAGUGUUUUUUUUAAACUAUUUCAAAUAAGUUACAGAACAUGAAAAUCUGAUUAUGGAAGCAGAGUAUAAUGUGUUAUGGACACAUAUCUUCAUCCCAUAGAGCACCAACCUCCGUACCAGCCUCUCAGUAAUGGCAUAUUGACUUUGACAAUGCCCUUAGUUUACACUGAAAUAAUUGUGAUAAGUCCAGGUUAAGGAGAACCAUUAAAAGUAGGUCAGGGUCGAUUUUAAACUGGCUUAUGCAGUUGAAUAAGCUUUUGGACAAAACAGGUGCUUAGGGAUUUUAAUAAUCCUGAACCCUAAAUCAUGGUUUUAUAACUUACAAUCUUCUGCGGUUUACAUGUUAUUUUAUGCUUAAGCCAGUUUAAAAUCGACCACUUAUUAAUAGGAUUUAGAGGAGGCCUAGGCCACCCUUUUGGAGGGACAAUUUGGUUGAUAUUAUAUUUAGGAAAUUACUGAAGCAUGACAAAAGGGAUGCAGUAGAG